rnacentral:lncRNA from 10 species
GUGAAAGCGAAGAGAGGCUGGGAUGAAGGGUGCAAAGGGAUAGUAAAGAAAGCAUGUUUGAGAUCCAGAACAGAAUAAUGGGUUGUUGAGGGAGGUAUUGAGGAUAGGAGAGUAUAUGGGUUUGGCACCAAGGGAGGGGGAUAGGAAAAACAGUUUUGUUUAUAAGGCGCAGAUCCUGAACUAACCUGUAAGGCUUGUCUGGUUUUAGGACAGGUAAAAUGGGGGAAUUGUAAGGGGAGUUUAUAGGCUUUAAAAGGCCACGCUGUAGCAGGCAAGUGAUAACAGGCUUUAAUCCUUUUAAAGCAUUCUGUGGGAUGGGAUGUUGGCAUUGAGCGGGGUAAGGGUGAUUAGGUUUUAAUGGGAUGGUAAUGGGCAUAUGAUCGGUUGCCAGAGAAGGAAUAGAGAUGUCCUAUACUUGUGGGUUAAGGUUGGGGGAUACGAGAGGAAGAUGCAAAUGAGGCUUUGGGUUGGGGAGAAGGGCGGCAAUGAGAUGCAGCUGUAGUCCAGGAAUAGUCAGGGAAGCAGAUAAUUUAGUUAAAGUGUCUCGGCCUAAUAAGGGAACUGGGCAGGUGGGGAUAAUUAAAAAAGAGUGCAUAAAAGAGUAUUGUCUAAGUUGGCACCAGAGUUGGGGAGUUUUAAGAGGUUUAGAAGCCUGGCCAUCAAUACCUACAACAGUUAUGCAGGCAAGGGAAACAGGCCCUGAAAAUAAGGUAAUGUGGAGUGAGUAGCCUCCAUAUUGAUUAAGAAGGGGACAGAUUUACCCUCUACUGUGAGAGUUACCUAGAGUGUCUGUGAUGGUCCUGUAGGCUUCAUGAGGUGAUCAGGCAGUGUCAGUCUUCAGCUGCUAAGCCGAGAAGAUCUGGGAAGGAGUCAGUCAGAGAGCCUUGGGCCAGAGUUCCAGGGGCUUUGGAAGUGGCUGCCAGUCAACAUCAUCAACUAUGACGGGAGCUUAUUUAUUUUAUUUUGCAGUUUUCUGGAAAAAUUACUUAAUUUCUGAUUCUGACAAAACAGCAUGAAACUAUUCAAAACACGGAGUCCCCUUCGGAAUCCUCGGAGUCAAGCUCUGUGGAAGCAGGAACUGCUUUUGGUUAUCCUUGAAUAAGCAGAAAUUUUUAUAGUUCUUUGGAAAAUAUUUCUGCUAAAAUCAGAGAAAACAGAUGAAGAAACAAAGCUCGGUCAGGCAGGCUGUCUGGCAGAAGUUCACAGAGCUGUGUCAGCAGCACAGCCUGACGGGAAUCCACAUCUGUUCAAAGCCAAAGAUGGUGUUCUUAACCCUCAUGCUCUUCAUCAAUGCUUUGCUGGCAGCCUGAAAGAACACUGGCACUUCCCAAAAGUAGCUCAUUUCUUUUUUUGGGAUUAAAUAUACACUCUGGACCUCAUACAUAUGAAAUAUGUUAGGGCUGUUUAUCAGAGGAUGGAAAACUUUUAAGGUUUGGAAACAUUUUAUUAAAGAACUCAUGAAUAUGGGAAAAUAAUAAGCAUUCAACAACUUUGAAUUGAAAUGUUUUUGAGAUUUUAACAAACAAGAAUUAAAUAAAACAUAAAUUUAGGGAGUUACAGCAACAUUUUAAAUAAUUAAUCUAUUCAUGGUAUCAAUUUUGAAAGAUAUUGAUACCUUAUCAGAAGAAUGAUGUUUCCUUACUGUUUUUGCAAAAGACGCUCAUGACCAGUCUCGUUCAUAGGAGAGUCUAAUUUCAGAGUGGAUGAAAGACUCAGAUUUUUGCAGCUGAAGAGACUUUAGAAGUCAUCCAGAUAAAUCACUCUGAGUUUUCUAGACAGAGGCUUGUCUCAUUUUUCCUUAAACAUCUCUAGUGAUGGAAUAUGCUCUGCCUUCUGGGGCAUCACAUUUCAUCCUAACAGCUCUUGUUAGUUCUUUCUUUCAAUUGAGUCCAAAUCUAUAUCUUUAAUUUCCACCCAAUUGCUUCCUUUUCUUUGCUUUUCCAAAUAACAGCCCAAAUUUUUUCUUUCUCUUGCCCCAAUUCCCUAUUUUUCUCAAGUACUCCAUAUGUAACAUGGUUCUGGGUCCUUUUGUCAUUCUGAUAGAUUUUCUUAGUAUAUAUGUUCCUUUUUUUGAAGUUCAUUCUUAAGUGUGUGAUUCCAAACAAAAGACAAUGCACAAAGAACUGUUAGUAAAUUGCAGAAUAAAAUAGCACUAUCGUUUUCCUUGAUUCACCAUGUUUUAUGUGAAUAACACAUGAAAAUACUAACCACAAAACAUACAAUAAAAAUUAUCAGCCUGAUGUUUACUCAGACUAAAUGUAAUGAAAAACUUAAUCAAUAAUGCAACAAUACAACAUGAGGAUUAUAGUUAAUAGAACUGUAUUAGAGUGUUUCGUUCAAUAAAUAGAUUUUUAGCUGCUCUUGUCACACAAAAAAGUGUGUGAGAUGCUUCACUAUAGUAACCAUAUACAUAGACAUAUAAUCAUAUACGUAUCACAUAACAUCGUGUUGUAACCCUCAAAUAUAUGCAAUAAAAUUUAUUUGAAAAACUAAUAUGACAAUACAAUUGCUCUUGCUACCAGCGCAGUUUGAAUUCAAAAUUUUAGACAAAUGAUAGACUACAGAAAAUACUUGGUCAUAGAAAACGUUAGUCUUUUUAGACUGCAUCUACGUACGUCAACUACCUUGAUGUUUUUCAAUUAUGAUUUUGUUACUUGAAUUUCUCCCUCUUCUCACCCAUGCUUGCUUGAUGACUGCCCAUUAUUCUGUCACCUCACCGUCUCUGUCCUCUAAGAAACUGCCCCUAAAUAUUUCAGCUUUAGUUGAGCUGCUUCUUUCUCGAAUUCUUAUUGAAAGUUAAAAUUUUGUUAAAAAGAUCUUCAGUUAAUAAUCUACCAAUAAAAAAUGAAUAAUGUUGAUGUUUAUGACAUCUAUUAUUUAUACAAAAUCUAACAUUACCAUUUCUAAAGAAAAAAUCUAAACAUUAAUUGAAGAGAACCAUAAAGCUCAACAUAGUACUGCUCCAAGUAGUUUUGUAAUACAAGUUAUCAUUUAAUACUGAAUACCUUGGAUUAAUUUUAAGACUUGAUAAAUACAUUCUAAUCUCAUAACCCAGUUUUAUCCACAAUAAGUGAACUAUUCUUAAUAUUGGAAAUUGAGUAAAUUGUUGAAAGUCGUAGUGUAAUGAAUGACAUGCAAUCUAAUAGAAGCACUUAACAAUUCUUUUAAUAAAUGAGCAUAUUCAAAGCCCACAAGACUUUGGUUCUGCGUUGUAAAUUAAUCAAAAGGUGAACAGUUCCCUUCUUUGUUUUCAAUAAAUACAUUUAUUCAAUUCUUUUCAGUAAAAAUGGUUAUUUCCCCAGAAUUCUAAUUAAAAUUCCAGUUAAAUACUUAAUUCUUUUGACCUCUAAACAAUAUAGUUCGUUAACAUGUAUUUGUGCAUUCAAGUUCUUAUUCCAUGUAAUGUGCAUUUGUAUAGUCUCCCAGUAUAAACUGAAGUUUGCUUGCUUGGAAAAAACAUAUUGUUUUCACCCACUGCAAGAUUUUAGAGGGAGCAUAGGGUCUGCAGCCCGAUCCAGCUGAAGGAAUGCUUAUCUCCAGUAUCUCUGUCUUGUUUAUUGCAAACAAAGCUCAUUUUUGUCCUUGUCUGACGGAUUUUCUUUUCAAUGAAACAUUUUGGUCUUUUCAUAAAUGUAAUUUUUGUCUAUUACUUAACCACUCUGUACCUCUAUUUCUUCAUCUGUAAAAGAAGAGUAAGAGUGGUUCUUUCUUACAGGGUGUUGUGAGUGUUAAAUGUAUUAAUACGUACGAAGUAUUUUGAACAUAGUGAAUAGCGUGCUGUUAGUAGCUUGUGAAAGUGAAUAAUAUGCUGUCAAUAGCACAUAGCGAAUAAUGUGCUGUUAGUAGUAGUAGCUUGUGAAAGUGCCUCUGUUACCAGGUAGUAAGGGAAUCCACGGUUCUUAGUUGUCCAGGGAGAAAGAUUUCGGCCAAGUGACAAUUCAGAUAACAGAGAGCUUUAUUGAAGGGAAAUCGAGAGCAGAGAGUUUAUAGAUAGACGGUACACUGAAAGAUAAGGCCGAACGGGCUACCGGAAGAGGGUGAGCCAGCAGCAGCCCGAGACUUGGGUUUUGAUGCUGUUGGUUUUUUUUCUUGAAGUUAGCUCCUAUUUCUUUAAUCUCUGCCUUUUUUCUCUGUCUAGUUUUCCCGCUCCUGUCUUAAAUCCCUGACUUUUCCCCUCCUAGUUCCUACGCCAGGCUUGUAGGACCCUCCCUUACUAUUAGUUGGUGCGCAUACGUGCGCUCGGUGUUGGAUCUCAAGUUUGUCUAAUGGCUGCGUUGCUCAUUACCGCCACCCCCAGGAAGGUUGUUUAGCGGGUCGAAUCUAAACUGUGCCUGCGAAUCUCUGACAAAUUUUCUCCUUUGAGCUCUUCCCCUUUAUCAGCAUAUACCUAGUGAGAUUCUGACACCUUAACUGUAGAAUGAGUGAUUACUGGGCAUCUUAAGGAGCUCUGCUUCCUGUAUAGUUUUUUUCCCUCCUCUUUGCUCAUAUCUGCACGCAUGUUUCGGGUGGUUUCUGGGGUGUGAGAUUAUCCAGACCUCCUUUUUCUCAGGGGCUCUUGCUCCUGGUCAUGUCUAGCUCUAGCUGUCUGCCUACUGUAACACUACCACAGCACAACACUAGUUGAAGUAAUGCUAAAUAAUCAAUAAGCCAGAUUUCCCCUCUGCAACCCAAAUCUAUAGCAAUGGUAGUCAUUUUGCUGACAUAGAACAACAACAAUUUGGUGAUAUUUUUUGCCUCUUUGCUCCAUUAAGACUCCUGGAUGAACUAUAAACUCAACUUAGGUUUAUACAAUAGAAUUUGGAUUAAAGAAAUAUCAAGCAGAAAAAUUUGUUCAGCAGGUGGAAGUAUAUUAAAAUCAGGGAAAGUAUUAUUUUAAAAUUUGGCUUUUUAAUAUAUUUACAUUCAUUUUUAUUAUCAUUAAAAUUUUUAUUUGUUUCAAAU